UACAAACAGAAAUUAGUCUCAUUUAUAAAUAAGCUUGAAGGACAAAGAAAUACCUCAGAGAGGUGAUUCAAUGGCAUGUCCAAAGCAUUCUAAUAAGAAACCAGCACGAGCAGGAAUAAUACAAAUAAAUUUGAGAUGGACCCUAUUUACCCCUCUGUUUGCAGUAGGAAAGAGACAAAGAAGCUAGACUGUGGCAAAGCUCUAUUUCAGUAUUACAGUACACAACACUAAUUCCCAUAAAAGACAGAGAGAUAUGAACAAACAAUCAAUCAUACACACAAAAAGAGCUAUAUAAUAUUAUAGUAAUUAAAAAAAAGAGUUAACAGAAUCUUUUGAGAUCAUACAUGUUCCAUAAUCGCAGAUCAGUUACAACAUUGAAGCUCAUAAUAAAUAAAUGGAGAUUACGACACAAAAAUCAAAAAAUACCAAAUUUAUGCAAAAUUUACAUUUUUUUGGUUAUAAAGAGUUGAGUAUGAAAAAUGCCAUUAGGCUUGAUACUGUGAAAAUGUGCUGAAAGUACUGAUUAUCAAGGGAUUUUACAUCUCAUCUAGCUUAAAAUCCUAAAUGAAAUCAAUAAUCAAUUAAAGAAAUUAUAGCUUAAGUUCAGAUGCACUGCCUCUGACCAUACUUUUAUGUUCUUUAAAAAUUUUAUUUUCCAAUGUGGAUUCUGCUUUCAAGAUAUCUGGCACUAUCUUUAUACCGGUUAGUCUCAAAUUCAUAAAAG
rnacentral:misc_RNA from 1 species